AUGUGUCACCACCAGAGCGCCUUCAUACGAGAUCGAUCCAUCCAGGAUAAUUUUCUCUACGUUCGGAAUGUGAUCAAGGCCGCACACACUGCCAAAUCUCCCAUGGUGUUCCUGAAAUUGGAUAUAGCGAAAGCCUUUGAUUCGGUGUGCUGGGUUUUUCUUCUGGAGGUGAUGGAAGCAAUGGGCUUUGGACAGAGGUGGCGUGAUAUGAUAUCACUGAUGCUCUCAUCGUCCUCUUCACGUGUGCUGCUCAACGGAGUGCCUGGAGUGCCGUUUCAUCAUCGGUGUGGUUUAAGGCAAGGGGAUUCUUUGUCACCAUUGUUGUUCAUUUUGGCAAUGGAGCCGCUGCAGCGAUUGCUUCAGUUGGCAACACAGAGAAACAUUCUGUCGCGGCUACGACCGAGGGUAGCGCGCUUCCGAUCUAGUUUCUACGCCGAUGACGCAGCUUUGUUCAUCAACCCGGUGGCAGAUGACUUUAACGCUGUACAGGCCAUUCUCACCCUGUUUGGGGAUGCCUCUGGAUUAAGAACAAACGUGACCAAAUCAGUGGCCUACCCAAUAGCUUGUGCAAACAUAGAUAUGCAGUCAUUGUUCGUCUUUUUUGGAGGGGAGCCAGGAGCCUUCCCAUGUCAGUACCUAGGACUCCCACUCGGGACCCGGAAGCCAAGGAGGGUUGAGCUGCAGCCAUUGAUUGAUAAGAUUGCUAGAAGACUAUCUAACAGAAGGGGGAGGAUGAUGAACCGUAUGGGAAGGCUGGUGUACAUUAACUCGGUGGUCACAGCCACGGCUACAUAUUACCUAACGGCUUUCCAGCCGGACAAGUGGCUGAUCAAGAAAGUGAACAAACUUAGGAAGAAUUUCCUUUGGGAUGCGGACGAUGGAAACAUUGGGGGAAAGAGCUUGGUUAACUGGAGACAAGUUUGCACUCCAAAGCGAUAUGGUGGCCUUGGGGUGAAGAACAUCGAGUGCUUUGGCCGGGCAUUGAGGCUUCGCUGGGAGUGGUUUAGAUGGGGAGAGGAGGACAGGCCAUGGAAGGGCUCGGACACGCCUUGCGAUUCCACGGAUAAGCAACUCUUCGCCAGCUGCACCAAAAUUCAGCUGGGGGAUGGAAACACGGCAUUCUUUUGGACGGACAGAUGGCUUAAUGGCGAGGCAUUCUCUGUCUCUACCCCUGAGCUCUUCAAGUUGGCAAGGUUUAAAAACUGA
rnacentral:rRNA from 1 species